rnacentral:rRNA from 1 species
CAGCAGCCACGGUAAUACGAAGGGGGCUAGCGUUGUUCGGAAUUACUGGGCGUAAAGCGCACGUAGGCGGACAUUUAAGUCAGGGGUGAAAUCCCGGGGCUCAACCCCGGAACUGCCUUUGAUACUGGGUGUCUAGAGUAUGGAAGAGGUGAGUGGAAUUCCGAGUGUAGAGGUGAAAUUCGUAGAUAUUCGGAGGAACACCAGUGGCGAAGGCGGCUCACUGGUCCAUUACUGACGCUGAGGUGCGAAAGCGUGGGGAGCAAACAGGAUUAGAUACCCCCGUAGUCCCUGUUUCUUAUAC